AUACAACAAAGGUGGAGGAUCUAUUGCUGUCUAGAUGCUGGUCAUUGCUGGUGCUGUUGGAGUCCAGCAACAUCUGCAGGGUCACAGGUUCCUCAAUCCAGACCAAUGCACAGUCCCAAUCCAGACAUGACAGCAAUCAUCAACUGGUGUUCAGAGACCUACUUCCUCUGAUCCUGGAGGUACAUCUAAGCAGCCAUACCAAGCUUUUUUUAAGAAGAAAAGGACAGAACUGCAUGAACCGUCUGAAAGUAAAAAGGGGAGAACAAAACUCGAAAGCUUGUAGCUUGUCUCUGGCUGAAAAAUUCCUGCUGAAGCAACUGCUCAGGGUAAUCUAUCACUGACCACGGAUAAAUGUGCAAAAGGGAAGGAAAGGAGAAGAAAAGAAUGAGGACAAACAGGUGCAAGAGGAGGUGUUGCCAGGCUGGGGAUCGAAUGAUAUAUGGACUGGGAGGUUGUGUGCCUAAUAUGCAUCUCCAUGGGCAUGACUGGUGAGUGAACCUCUUAUUGAAGGCUGGCUCACUGGAGAACUGCCCAGUCUUCUCCACCAUCCACCUCAGUCUAGUGCAGCCCUGUUCACUUCCAAAUGGCUUCCUCUUGCCCUUCCAACUCUUUUCAUCCAAUGGGGAGCUAAGUCUAGAGGACCAGGUGGAUGUUGAGGACUGGCUGCCAGAGCUGCCCUUGAGAUGGAUGGAGGGGGAGAUGAGAUCCUCCCACACUGUCAUAGAGAGAAGGGAUAAAUUUGCCACAGCUUUGGAAGUGUGUGCAUGUGAGGAGAUAAUGUGACCCCUCAACCUUUUAUGGAGACCACAACCCAUUAGAUGUACUGGGAAACCUAGAAAGCACACUGCGGGCUUCCAUUUCAGAGGGACGAAGCUGCAUCUCCCAUCCAGAGUUGUCCGCACAGAACAUCCUCUGUGCAAGAAGGAGCAACUGCUUCAGCGUCUGCAAUGAGGAAAGCAGAGCAGAAGGGCUCCUAUGGAGCUGAGGGAGGGGCUCGGAGGAAGGGGCUCCAACUGGAAGGGCAGGUGGUCUGUGCAGUUGGCCUGCCAAGGGAGGCAGUGGAGGCCACAUGGUGGGGAGUUUCCAAACAACAGUUUGGAUAAGCAUCUGUCAGGGACUGGCUCCACUUUAGUCAUUUUGCCUCCAAGACUGCGUGCGAGAGAGGCGGGAAGGGAGGGAAAUUAACAGACUAUAGUUAAUUGUAGUACUGCUGUUCACACAUGUUGAAGGACUUGGAGUAGAGCAAAAGACAGAAAACUGUGUGUUUGUGUGUGUCCAUCUCUCUCUGUGUGUGAAGGAGACAAUACAGGAAUUGUGAGAAGGUAGAAUAAGGAGUCCCUGGGGGGAAAGGAGGCGUUCUGGAUCUAACAGUAUCCUGAAGGAGUUGUGAUGACAGCAGCUGCCACCACCACUACUCACAAGAGAUUACGAGUCUGGCUAAUGUUUGCAUGCUCUCUCUCUCUCUCCCUCCCCCAUGAGCCCCCCCCCCCCACAUACACAUCUCUUCUUCGUCUUCUAAUUAGAGAGCAUUUGGUAUGGUUGCGUUCUGAGUAAUUCCUCUUGAGAAACAACCAGCUUCAAAUUAAAGAACAAAAAAAUAAAAAUAAAAGUAAAGUACCACGAGGGAAUCAGCACAAGAGCAGGAAUGAUGCAGCUGCCACAAGUCCAGGACGCAACAGGCCACCGCUCUGAACCGCUGCCAACUUCCAAACUGGCUAUCAAUUUCUCAUCUGUCAUUGAGACAAGCUACGAGCGCGAAAGUGCGGACUGUGUUGAUUACAGAAAUGCGCCGUUCCAAUAUGUGCUGGUGCCUGCAAACCCCUGAACGUUUCCAGAGGAAAUAAAUUUGCAGCAAAAGGGGCGAGGGGUUAGAAUCGCUAUAUGCUGAAACAUCACGCCCAACACAGAAUGAUUUAUCACAACUAAAUGCAGGAGGUAAUGUUUCCUUAUAGAAGUGUAUGUCAUCUCAUGAGAUGGGACAGAGGGACAGAGGAAAUUCAGCCUGAUUUGGGGGGCCUUCAAGUUGUUAUGGGGAAAGUACAGUACCAAUACAGAAAUAAGUUUGGUGUCUGUGAACAGCCCAGGGAGAACAGCUAACUUGUCCUGAUCAGCAAACAAAGUCACUUUUGUUUGCAUGGACAAUGAGAGGCAGUGCCAGGUAGAGAGACCUAGACAGCCACAUUCAGCCUCCACACCUGAGGUUCUCUAAUAAUAAUAAUAAUAAUAAUAAUAAUUUAUAUCCCACCCAUCUGGCUGGGUUUCCCCAGCCACUCUGGGUGGCUUCCAGCAGAAUAUUAAAAUACAAUGAUUCAUCAAAUAUUAAAAACUUCCCUAAAUAGGGCUGCCUUCAGAUGUCUUCUAAAAGUCAAAUAGUUGUUUAUUUCCUUGACAUCUGAUGGGAGGGUGUUCCACAGGGUGGGCGCCACUACCGAGAAGGCCUUCUGCCUGGUUCCCUGCAACCUCACUUCUUGCACUGAGGGAACCGCCAGAAGGCUCUUGGAGCUGGAGCUCAGUGUCUGGGCUGAAUGAUGGGUGUGGAAAUGUUCCUUCAGGUAUACUUGGCCGAGACUGUUUAGGGCUUUAAAGCUCAGCACCAACACUUUGAAUUGUACUCAGAAAAGUACUGGGAGCCAAAGUAGGUCUUUCAGGACCAGUGUUAUAUGGUCUUGGCAGCCACUCCCAGUCACCAGUCUAGCUGCCUCAUUCUGGAUUAGUUGCAGUUUCUGGGUCACCUUUAAAGGUAGCCCAACGCAGAGCACAUUGCAAUAGUUCAAGCGGACGAUGACCAGAACAUGCACCACUCUGUGGUCUGUGGGCAGGUAGGGUCUCAGCCUGCGUACCAGAUGGAGCUGGUAAACAGCUGCCCUGAACACAGAAUUGAUCGGCACCUCCAUGGACAGCUGUUAGUCCAAAAUGACUCCCCAUGGAGUAAAGGAUUAAACUCUCCCUCCCCACUUAUUUAUUGAUUUAAAUUUAUAUCCCACCUUUUUUCUCCAAGGAGCUUAAGGUAGCAUAUAUGGUUCUCUCUGUUGCCAUUUAAUCCCCACAACAAACCUGUGAGAUACAUAAGGCCUGGCCCCAAUGCUUCUCUCACAACCAGUUAAUGCCAUGUCCACUUUGGACUUCAGUCUCUACACAUCAACGCUAUGGCCACUUUGUGUGUCUGGAGACCCAACUGGUUCUGUCCAAUUGGUUCUAUACAGAUUAAAGGUCAUGGGGGUCCCCGAUCUACCUUGCCAUAUUUGAGACCUUUCUGGGGCCUCCAUAUUUCUUUUGAACUCACAAAACAUGAGAGCAUAUGAGGACACCUUGCAAAAGGAAGUGAAGAAGAGGUAUCCUUUCCCUCUAGGUGUAGAGUUGCCCCCCCCCCCCAGCUUCCAUCACAGCUCAGUACUGAGAAACAGGGACAUACACUGCAUACCUCUGAAUAUACAAGGGGCACAUGACGCAUCUUUACAGGAGCACCCUGAAUAAAUGUUCAAAGGCAGGGAGGAUCAGAUCUUAAUCCUGCCUUACACAAAACUUCCCCAGGUAUGUUGAUUUUAGCCUAAUCCUUUAAUAUUUAAAAGCAUUUCCAUUCUUGUUUGAAGAGACUUCCUGGCCUCUGGAGAGGGAGAGAGAAAUAGAGAAUGGCAGGUGUCAGGUAGCGAGUGUUCUUUGCAUCUCAGACCCUUGUAUUAUUAUUAUUAUUAUUAUUAUUAUUAUUAUUAUUAUUAUUAGACAGCUUUCUAGCAAGGGGUGAUCCUCUGAAGACUUGUGAGUCAUGACCUCUAUUGUUGUUAUUGUUGUUUGUUUAUUUGUUUGUUUGCUGCUUUCUUCCAUUUCAAAUCCGGCAGAUUGUAACAGGAACUUCAAACCGAGCAGGAAACACAUAAAUUGAGCACGUUCUUCUGCUCCAUUUGGGAGUAUUAGACAAAUGUGUCAGCAUUUGUGUUCUGUCCUCUUUCUGCUGGUUCCAACACAGUUACAGAAACUAUGGCUUCCAUUAAUUUUCUAAACUAUGGUGUCUUUCCUUCUAAAGAAGCAAGCAGUGAAAUACUGUAAAUGUGAGCACAAGUUGGGCAGAAAAUACGGGAAAGUUUGAGGGAUACAGAAGUAAGCUAUGGAAACUCUGGCAAAUGCCUCGGGUCCACCUCUGCUAGCCCUGGGUCUUAAUUCUUGAUCCCUCUGUCCCUCCCUGAUGAUGAACAAUGCAAGUUCUCCCUCCCUCAGUGCCAGCUCUGCUCCGCAAACAGUCUGGCAGCCUCACACCUCAUUACUUGGCAACAGGUGCAAAGCAAUAAAUCAAGCAGAGAAAAUGCCACUCAGUGGGGACUCCUUGUCUCUGGAGACUCAAUAUUUUUCUUGAUUCCCACAUCUGGCCAUCAAGAGGAGGCAGGAGGCAGUGUUGCUGUCUGUGGUCCUGAUCGAGACUGUCUUGCUACAUACUGGGAUGAGGAGGCCAUCAGCGAGGAGACCCAGGUGAAAAUAGCAUGCUUUGAGGUAGAGCUGUGAAAUGUACCACAGAGAUAUUGCUUGUAAAAAGAAAAGAAAAGAAAAGAAAAUGUUUACAACUGCAAAGAGAGCCUCCUAGUUAUGUUCUCCUUUGGCUGCUGGGCUGGCGCUUUCCUUGCAGCGAAAUGCAUUGUGAGAAGAACAGCCGGGACCUUUCUGUUUCAGGAGCACCGGCAUGGUGGGCUGUGGUUUUCAUAUAAAACUUGCAGAUUUCACAGUUCACUUUUCAAAUCUGUACAAAUCUAUGGUGUGACCGCAAUUGGAACACUGAGUACAGUUCUGGCUGCCUCAUUGCAAAAAGUAUAUUGUAAAGGUGGGGAAGGUUCAGAAAGGGGCAACCAAAAUUAUGAAGGAAGGUUACAGAGUUUUGGACUUUUUAGUUUAGCAAAAAGUUGAGUAAGAGGUGACAUAAUAGAAGUACCGUAUUUUUUGCUCUAUAAGACUCACUUUUUCCCUCCUAAAAAGUAAGGGGAAAUGUGUGUGCGUCUUAAGGAGCGAAUGCAGGCUGCACAGCUAUCCCAGAAGCCAGAACAGCAAGUGGGAUUGCUGCUUUCACUGCACAGCAAUCCCUCUUGCUGUUCUGGCUUCUGAGAUUCAGAAUAUAUUUUUUUCUUGUUUUCCUCCUCCAAAAACUAGGUGCGUCUUGUGGUCUGGUGCGUCUUAUGGAGCGAAAAAUACGGUAUAUAAUAUAAUGCACAGCAUGGGGAAAGUGGGUAGAAAAAUGCUUCUUCUUUUUACCUCUCUCAUAACACAGAAACUCAUGGACAUCCAAUGAAGAUUAAUGUUGUAAGAUUCAGGACAAAUAAAAGAAAGUGCUUUUUCACAUGACACAUAGUUAAACUCUGGAGCUUGCUCCCACAGGAGGGAGUGAUGGCCACCAACGCCGAUGGCUUUAAAAGGAUGUAAUGGCUAUGCUCUGUGUCCAUGUUUGCUUCUGAGUAGUAGUUGCAGGGCAGCCCAGGAAGGAAGAGCUCUCUUGUGCUCAAAUCCUGCUUGUAGGUUUCCCACGGGCAUCUGGGUGGCCACUGUGAGAACAGAAUGCUGAACUAGAUGGGCCAUUGGCCUGAUCCAGAAGGCUACUCUUAUAUUCUUAUGUUCACGGGUAGAGAGGAGCCUUCAAGUCAAACAUUGAACAAUCCAGUGCAGUAAAUCAUAGAACUGUAGAGUUGGAAGGGACGCCGAAGGUCAUCUGGUCCAACCCCCUGCAAUGCAGGACUAUGCAAAUAAUAAUAAUGAGAUGACAUACACAUCUAUAAGGAAAUAAUAAAUUUUAUUUAUACCCCACCCACCCUGGCCAGAGCUGGGCUCAUGGCGGCUAACACCAGUAAAAAUUACAGUAAAAACAUAAUAGGGGGAAAAACCCGAUUUAAAAUACAGGUUAAAAUGCAAUUUAAAAUGCAGCCUCAUUUUAAAAUUAGCCCAUAGAUCACAUAAAGGGAGGGAAACAUAAAGGUCAGACUGAGUCCAAACCAAAGGCCAGGAGGAACAGCUCUGUCUUGCAGGCCCUGCAGAAAGAAAUCAGAUCCCACAGGGCCCUGGCCUCAUGAGACAGAGCGUUCCACCAGGCUGGAGCCAGUGUUGAGAAGGCCCUGGCCCUGGUUGAGGCUAAUGUGACUUCCUUAGGGCCCGGGACCUCUAGAGUGUUGCUAUUUAUGGACCUUAAGGUCUUCCGCAGGGCAUACCAGGAGAGGCGGUCCCGUAGGUACGUGGGUCCUAGGCCGCAUAGGGCUUUAAAGGUCAAAACCAGCACCUUAAACCUGACCCUGUACUCUCUUGCUCCGCAGGCUCCAGGGGAGUCUGGUCCAGUAGGGCGAAUGUGGCACUGCCCCACCAACCUCAAUCUGUCCUCAGCACACACACACACACACACACACACACACACACACACACCAUGCCUAUCUCCUUACUUACAACCAGUCCAGGUGGCAGCACAAGCCUCCAGCUUCCUCUUCCUUAGCCUCAGCGUUGUGUUAGGCAGGAGAAGCCCACUGACUCUGGUUCCGCCUGUAGCUCACACGGCUGCAAUGAUGGGAAACUAACACUCUAAAGUGCUCUGUAGGCUAAAAUAAUUUAUAAAUCUGGUGACUUCCGGGGUGGCGCCAUCGGCAAUGGCGGACUCCCUCUGAUCUGGAGGGACUAGCUCCACGCGAAACGGGUCUUUUCCGCUACGGCGAAGCGGGGACCCUUUCAAAAAUCACAGGCAGAUGAAGCCUGUGACCAUGGGACUCGGCGGGCACCUUUAGCGCCCCCCCAACCCGCAAAGGAACCCACUAACGGGCUCCGGAGCGAAGAGGGGGAAGUGGCGCGGUGCUGAGAGUCAACUGCUUCUUCCGUGGAGUGAAGCUGCACAGCCGUUGCCAGAGAGCGCUGCCUUUUUCCUGGGACAAUUUGCCUCCCAAAAUAAUCACCCGUGAGUACUUAAAUCUCGGACAAUUGGACUUUAAAUAAGGACUUGCGAGCAGAAAGGAAAAUUGGACUUAAAAGUUUAUUUCAAUUUGGCACAGAAACGGGAAGGUCUAAACAGGAAGUCAGCCUUCCGUUUCUUUGUAGAUAGAUUGAAGCAAAGACAUGGCAAACUAGAGCUCAGAAAAUCGCUUGUAAAAGGUUAACUUUCAUCAUUUAAAAUUGUUGAACCCCCUUCGGAAGCAGGAGAAGAGGGGGGAUUUUAUUUUCGGACUGUUUAAACCUGCAGAAGUGAGUGCAAAAUAAAGUAACUUUCCACCGUCUUGAUCCUGGAGCAGGGUGUCAGGACUGACGUUUUUUGAAGCUCAUUGACCAGAGACAAACGUCUUUGACAGAUAGCUAAAAGAAGAGAAACAUAGUGAUUCCAUUGUUCCCCUUCGCAUUUUAAAGGAACAAAUAUUGACAAAAUAUCUGAAAAAGGAAACUUUGUUGUCAGACUUGUCUUUAAAAGAAAGAACAAAAAGAAGUUUUCCCCCUAGCGGGAGACUGUGAAACUGUAACCAAUUUCGGGAAGCUUGCAGCUGUUACUGAUUACAAUCGUGGGAAUAGACUUCUGACCUUGCAGGACAAUGUAUUCAGAAGCUCUGUUGUGUGCUCUCUGUAAAACAAAUGCCCUACUGGAACAGCUACAUGAGAAGACGGACUUGAUGACUGAUGCGAUCAGAAAUUUUGAACAGGCAGUGGGAAAUUAUAUGGAGCCCACCCAGGAAUUAAAUCAGGAGUGUGCCCUGACAGAACAGAUGAGGGAAAAGGAUGUUGCUGAAUCUAGGGCGCCAGAGAUGGAGGGAGCUGUGGCCCAGCAGGAUCAUGAGCUUUUGGAUUUGACAAAUGAACUUGGAAAAAGCCAGAUUUGGAAAGAUAAAGUUUGGUCUGGUUUGGAAAUGGGGUGUUGGAUAGACCCCCCAAUGCAGGGAUGUUUGGACUUUUCAAGUCUGGCAAUGGGCCGUGAGAUGUUUGGGGUUGUGGGGGCUCUUAAUUUUGGAGGGACUUUGAAACAUAUUCUUAAAUACCAUAUGGAGUUUAGUGUGGACUGUGGAAAAUCGAGAAGGGUCAAAAACAUUGUUAAGCUGGAGUUCCCACGAGUGAAAGGAGCAGGAGACAAAGGAAAAUACAGCUAUAAAUAUGAAGAAGAGCCGCGGAAGGGACAUGGAAGAGACUUAAGGGCCUCGGAUACAAGAUUACCAGGUUAAUGCGCUAGAUUGAUGGGAUAAAAAGGACUGACAAAACCCGGGACCAGGAGGAAGGGACGUUGGAUGAAGAUUGGAUUGGUUUUAUUAUUAUUAUUAUUAUUAUUAUUAUUAUUAGGAUUGUCUUAUAAAAUUGAUGAAUGUUAGAAAAAUGUUGGAAUGAAAUUACUCGGCUUUAGCAAAAAUGUUUAAAGAAUUAUGUAAGAAUAUUAUGGUUAUGAGAAGUUGGUAAAAAUAAGACUUAAGUUUUAAGCUUUAAGGUUUUUUAUAGUAAGAUAAGAUUAAAAUAGAUUAAGGUAAUGUAAUGACAGAAUAUUAUGAAAUAUGGAAAGGAUUUGCUGCGACAAUUAACAACCAGGAUACAAAAAAAGGGAGGAGGAGGAGGUCAAAGAAAGAAGGUAAUGACAGUUAAGGAUUUGAGAAUGAUGGAUUUGUUUUUGAGUGUUUGUGGUGUAUUUUUGUUUUUUGAACUUGUAUUGUUUGAUGUGGUUUGUUUUUUCUGUUUUUUUCUUUUUUUUCUGCUUUGUUCUCUUUUGUAAUUCUAAAAAUUUUUCAAUAAAUAUCAUUUAAAAAAUAAUAAUAAUAAUUUAUAAAUCUGCCUUUCAUUUUGCCCUUUUCCAAAGGUCAGAGUGGUUUAUUAAUACCAGUAUCGUGAAUUAAUAUUGGUGGAAGAUGUGGCUUGAUAUGGUGGAGGAACAGGUACCAUCUCACUUCAGUUUUAAUUCUAUAUUAUUAUUUGCUUCUGAUGGAGAUAGAUACAAGGCUGGAAUCGGAUCAUAGCAACUGAGUGUCUCAUUGCUAAUUUUAUUAAUCUGACCUGGCAACGCUCACAGUUCCCUUCUCAAUGUCCUUUGCUUCUGUGAAGGUAUGUUUCUCCUGGCUGUAAGUCUAUGUGAUCUCUGGAGUUGCUUCAAACUGCUUCGUCUGAGCAACAAAACUAGGAAGGCUUUAAAAUGCUGGAAGGUGGCAUUUUCCUUUGUGAACAGAUCAACUUUUCUCCCCUCCACCAGUCUUCUCCUGCCUCCUCCUCCUCCUCCUCCCCACCAGCGUUCAGAUGUGGAUACCCUCUCUCAAAAUGCAAUAAAUCUUUCACUUUCAAAUCUUAGAUUCAUUAAAAGUAGCCCAGGAGGAAGGAAUAAUAAGGUGCCACUUUACAGCCCAAAUAAAACACAGAAAGAGGCAGUCCAUAAUAUGAAUUUCAGGCUUUGGCUGAAGAUAAUUCAUGCAUCAUUUUCAGAUAAGAAACAAAAAUGGAGCUGCGUCAGCACAUUGGCUGAAAAAUAACUUUUUGUAUUAUGUUAUGCCUUUCGGUAAUGGGCCCAGGUUACCAUAUAUCACCGGUAGCUCCAGCUUUCUGCUUCCCCAUCCCCCUUGGCUACUGUCACAGUAAUAUCCUCCAUGAACGGCAUCACCUGUAGACUGAGCAAAAGGGGAAGAGCUUUGGGAAAGGACGGGGGUUCAGCAAAGGAAGCGAAGCUAAAAGCAGCAAUUUCUCUGAGCUUCAUGUAAAGGUCAACAUUCAUUAGCAAUAAAUAAAGGGGGGGGGUGGCUGGCUCACAUAGCUGCAGUGGGGUCUGCAAAAGGUCUGUUCUUUUUCCCUAUCCCAGCCAUUUUCAAAAAUUUCCUUUUUCCACAAUAGCACUCUCAUGAUGGAACUCCGUCCUGAAAUAUGGCAAGAAUCUUUUGACACAAGUUAAAACCCUUGUUAUUGUCCCAGGCUUUUAGGGGAGAUAUUUUAUUGGAGGUACUUCCUGCUGUGCUUUUGUUGGAGGAAAACGUUGCUUUUUGCUGCUGUGUUUUGUGUGUGCUGGGGGCUUGAAUUCAACUGAUGUGGGUUGUUUUGUACCAUGUUUUACUGGAAAUGGUUUAUCACAGCAUUUUAAACAGCCCCUCCCUGCUCAGGAAUUACAGCAGUGGUGGUGAAGGGUGGGAUAUAAAUUUAAUUAAUAAAUACAAUAACCAUAAUGGGUUGUAUCCAAUGCUUGUCCUGCUCAGAGUAGACCCAUUGAAGUUCAUGGACAUGACUAACGUAUGUUCAUGAAUUUCAAUGGGUCUAACUCUGAGGAGAACUUGGUUGGAAUACAACCCAAUAGAAACAUUUGUAGAAAUACCCCUCCCUAUUUCAUUCUACCUGUGUUUUACAAUGCACAGGAUGGGGGUCUUCUCAUUGUCCCAUUUCUGGGCAAAUUAUGCUGUGCAGUGAGGUGGAACAGGACCCUCUCUGUGUUGGCACCCCAUCUAUGGAAUGCCCCCCUAGACCUCUUUGCUCAGACCUUAAUGCAAUGCAACACAACUAACUGAUGGAUUGUCUGCAGUUUUAUUUGAGGUAUUAAUUUUUAUUUGAAACCUUUAUUGCAACGGUUGCGUGUGUGCUCUGCUAUGUACGUUUUCUGCUGUUAUCUGCCAUGGAACUGUGAAUUGAUGAAGGUUGGGCUUGAUACUGAAGCAAUAUAUCAAAAAUAUUCACUUGGUUAGCCAAAAAAAAAUGUAAAAAAUGUAAUGUAUUCAAACAUCAGCCAUACAGUAUGUUCCCUAGAGGGACCACUUUUAAAAAAAUCAAACAACCUGGCUUUUUCCUUUUUUUUGCCAUCCGUGUCACCUGCUAGCUUUAUCUGGGAAUAAAUUUAAUUUUGUCAAGUGCUGGAGAGCAAAGGUAGCAGAACUGAUCCCACCCCAAGCGCUCAUCUGUCAUAAGGAGCGACUUCCUUACUAAUAAAGUGACCUUGUGUAAAUAGCUCAACUUGGCAGAGUUGCUGCACCUCUGGUGUAGAACACGCGUUGAUAGACGGAGACCACAUGGGCUGCCAGUCCAAGAUGAACUAUCAGACACGCACACAGAGAGAGUUAGUUGCGACUUUGUCAAGUUCCUUUAGCUUUUGAAGGCAGAGGAUGCCGGUGACUAAGGGGUCUUGGUGAACAAUCACUCCUGCCGCUUGUCGAUACUGCAGCAGCCAGUUGCUCCUGCAUAUUCCGAGCAGGAAAAGAAAUUGUCAUGGCAGUCUCCUACCUCCUAUCAAAUUAUGCCCCGUCCUCCAUUAGAAUGAAACCUGAUCUCACUGUGCCAUCUCCACAUUCAAGGAGAUCACCUGAAUAACUUCAAGGGCAGGGAGUAUAUGCAGAAUUAUCCUGUUUGCACCUGGCUAUAGAGCUGCGGUCAGUACCUUAUUACAUGCAAAUCAAUGCAAACCAUAACACGAAUUAGCAAGUAUAUUUGGAAACCAAGGGGGGUGAGAAAUAAGAUACAAAAAGUUGUCUAGGUUGUCCUCAGCCAAUUCAACAGAGGACGUGGUACAUUUCUAAGUUUUCCUAGGAAAAUGAAGUGUAAAGGGAUUAGGGUAUAGCUUUGUCAGUUGUGCUCUCUCUGCUAGUACUGUGGUUUCUUUCCUUAUGGAAUAUUUGAACUCAAGGGAGGCCCUUGUCCAAAUAAAGCCCUUUAACUACCCCUGCUCCCAAGGGCCGCCUCUCCUGGUAUGCCCUACGGAGGACCUUAUUGUCUACAUAUAACAACACCCUGCAGAUCCCGAGCCCCAGGGAGAUUAGACUGGCCUCAACCAGAGCCAGGGCCUUUUUGGUUGUGGCCCCGGCCUGGUGGAACGCUCUCUCACAAGAGACCAGGGCCCUGCAAGAUUUGACAUCUUUUCACAGGGCCUGCAAGACAGAACUGUUCCGCCAGGCCUUUGGCCAGGGUUCAGUCUGACUCAUUUUCUCUUUGUAUGAACGAGUACAAAGGAGGUUCCCCAGCCCACUCACAUGUCCUUAUAAUAUCAGUGGAAAUAGUUGGUCCUGGCGAGUAUUAACCACUUUCAGUUUGUCAUUUGUCAGGAUGGCCAUUUGUCCAGUCCAAUUUUAAUUUCUCUGAAUUAAUUUUGGGAUGCAUUUUAAUCAAUUGUUUGUUUGUUUUCAUGUAUAUUGUGUUUUAUAUAAUGUUAGCCGCUCUGAGCCCAGCUCCGGUGGGGAGGGCGGGAUACAAAUAUUAUUAUUAUUAUUAUUAUUAUUAUUAUUAUAAUGAAAAAAGAAAUGCAAAUGCUGUCGGUAGGUACCUUUGCUAUGCUUGGACGCAUUUGGUGAGCUCUGCCACAAUAUCCGUAGUAAACAAACAAACCCCUCUGUUGCAGAGUUCAGAGUUGGACAUCAGAAUUGGACAUUUGCUGAUUAUACAAAGCUUCACAGCUUGCUCUCCACCAGGUAAAGUCUGGCACCGUGAUUUAUUUAAGGACAUUUAUUUAAGAGACUUUCAGAGACUUCAGUUAGUUAGUUUUGAUGUUUUGAAUUAUUCCAUAAAGUUUUUCACAUUGUUAUUGUUUCUGGCCAUCGUGUUGCUUUUGAUAUUGCUGACAAUAUCCGUAGUAGCAGCAGUGAUACUGGGUCUGUGCGCCCAUUACCAGCUUAAAAUGCAUGUUCUUUUUCUCAGUUUGGAUCGAAACUGGCUUGGGGAAAAUGGCAUCCGCCUGCAGUAUUUCAUAAGAAAUGACAGGAUAGAUAUGGAUUGUGGCUAAUACUGUGAGUGCGCCUCUUCCCAAACCAGCUGUGUGAGUGGCAGGACUGUGACCUAAUUUAAGAAAAGUUAGUGGAUUAAUUUGUUUGAGACUUAGUUGACUACAUUUUCACAAAUUUGCUUAGGGGUGAAAACAAUAUGGGUUUUUUUAAAAAAAUUAAGUUUUAAAUUUCAUUUUCAGGUGUAAUGAUCAAAUAAAACAACAACAAAAUCCACACCUGAACAGAACCAUCCCAUAAGGUCCUAAAAACGGGGGCAAUUCUUUCAUGCUCCACCUAAAGUAGUAUAAUUACCAAGUACAGAAGACAAAACCUCAAGACAUAUCAUCCAUGUCAAAAUAAUAAUGCACCAAUCCAAAAUUUCAUCUGGGAAGAGUGUGGUUCAUCAGCUGCUGAUUCCUUAUUUGCGUGUACAGUAAACUGGUGUCAGGUCGUGACAAAUCCUGCUUCUCCAACUGCUCAAGCAAUCAGAUUUUGUGCAUAGCUCUUCGGCCAGGGCUAUCUGCCAAGUCUGUUCAAUCCAUCCCUCACAGUUAAACCUUUAGACACUUUCCAAUAACACACAGUUUCCAUUCUGGCUGCAGCUGAUAAGAGGUGCACGAGCUCUCUAAAAACAGUAGCUCCAAAGCACUUUCUUUUCGAUCACGCUGCUGUGUAUCCUAGCAGGUACACUCUUAAGACGAGGAACUCC